CGAAUUCCUCAUCCUAUGGGUAAUCAGACACCAAGUCAGUUACACAACGUGGUCACCAGUACUAUGGCGUUGAAUGCAGCCUCCAAGCUGCCACAGCAACGACCUGGUUAUAAUGGUAAUGGAGCAAGCCAAGCCAACAUUGCCAAGAUCAAUAGCAAUGGAAACAACAGUAUGAAGCAAAAUCAUCAGCCCCAGCAACAGAGUCAUUUGCUUUCUGGGGCUAACAUUAAGGGCAGGGAACUGGAAGACCCUGCCACUAAGGCCAACAUGAAAGCAAUGGCAGCCAGAGCACUAUGGCGUCUUGCCAAGGGGAACUCCCCUAUUUGCCGCAGCAUAACCGAGUCAAGAUCCCUCUUGUGCUUUGCAGUUCUAUUAGAGAAGGGACCUAAAGAUGUUCAAUACAAUUCUGCCAUGGCUUUGAUGGAGAUCACUGCGGUAGCAGAGAAAGAUGCUGAUUUAAGAAGAUCAGCAUUCAAGCCUAAUUCGCCUGCUUGCAAAGCCGUUAUUGAUCAAUUGCUGAAAAUCAUUGAAAAAGCUGAUUCAGACCUCCUUAUACCAUGCAUCAAGGCUAUAGGGAGUCUGGCAAGGACAUUUCGAGCAACAGAGACCAGAAUGAUUGCCCCAUUGGUUAAACUUCUAGACGAGAGAGAAGCUGAGGUUUCUAGGGAGGCUUCAAUUGCCCUCACAAAAUUUGCCUGCACAGAAAACUAUCUCCACCUUGAUCAUUCCAAGGCAAUCAUACAAGCUGGAGGGGAAAAGCACCUAAUCCAGCUUGUCUAUUUUGGGGAGCAAAUAAUCCAACUCUCAGCAUUGUAUCUCCUAGGCUACAUUGCUAUGCACGUCCCAGACAGCGAGGAGCUUGCACAGGCUAAGGUGCUUACAGUGCUAGAAUGGGCAUCCAAGCAAUCGUUUAUGAAUCAAGAUGAAACAAUUGAAGCAUUGCUAGAAGACGCCAAAAGCAAAUUGGAGCUUGUUUCAUCUUGAUUCAUAAACGAUUGCUUGGAUGCCCAUUCUAGUUUCUAUCAAUAGUAUAUAGUCUUUUAUAAUUUUCUUGUUUAUUUUUUGUAGCAGUGUCAUACUAAUGGAGUGUACAUACAAUUAGUUUUC
rnacentral:misc_RNA from 1 species